GACGUAGGGUGCGAGCGUUGUCCGGAUUUAUUGGGCGUAAAGAGCUCGUAGGCGGUCUGUCGCGUCGGCUGUGAAAUCCCGAGGCUCAACCUCGGGUCUGCAGUCGAUACGGGCAAACUAGAGUAUUGCAGGGGAGACUGGAAUUCCUGGUGUAGCGGUGAAAUGCGCAGAUAUCAGGAGGAACACCGGUGGCGAAGGCGGGUCUCUGGGCAAUAACUGACGCUGAGGAGCGAAAGCGUGGGGAGCGAACAGG
rnacentral:rRNA from 1 species